CCGGCUUUGGCAUAAACGGACUUGGUGCCUGGGAAAUAAAGCAGAUAGGUGACCAUCCCAUUAGAAGAAGACAGAUGCAGCAGAGAGGCCACUAACUGUCCAUGUCACAGGAUACUCCUCCUACACCCCCCUCCCUCCCUGAAGUGGUCUGUUCUCUACAAUCAUCUCAUCAUCCCCAUGUUUUAACUUGUUUUCAUAAUUUUUCAGAACCCUAAUCUCAAUCACAUAUGAGUAUUAGUAGAUUUCAUUAUUUAAAUGAUUUAAAAUAAGGUCUGGAUGACAGGGUAUGCUUGUCUGAUUUAGGUAGUCUACUUCAUUUAAAGAAGUACUUAGUUGCCUAAAUAAGAUUUAAACAUUUGGAUUUGGGAAUCUCUUUUCACUUGUUCUUUUCUUGGUCCAUAAGAAGAGCCAGAACCACAGCAUGCCUCUCUAUUUCAGAGCUACAUUAAGGUUGUUAAUUUAGUAGAUCAGAGAAAUCCACUCGAUAAAAAUGUUUUUAAGAUUUCAUCGUAGCACUUGAUGAGCUCUCUUGUCAACAAGUUCUGGAAAUAUUUACUGGAUGAUAAUACAAUCAACUCUCUGCCCUGAGAGGUUGACCUGGAUGAGCUGCACCCACAAGCUCAUUUGUCCUCAGGUUUCCAGUUGAGUUCCACCAAUGGGAGGCACCAUCAGGAGAUGCAGACUUCAAGAAGAGUGAAGCUGGGAUGUUUACUUCCCCAACUCGCUCUACCGAGCUGCGUGUGAGCUGGCUGGGUACUUCGGUGAAGUUUGCAGCUCCCAUCGGCGCCCUUUUCUACAUCAGCCUCCGUAGCUGCCCAACUUUCUUUUGCCAUUGCAGCCAGUUGAGUGGCAAAACUGGCCCCCUCAAUAUUUUACUGUUCCUUGUUGGCUUCAUUUUAGCCUGUCCACACUUUUGUCAAUUACCUUUUCUUUAAACUCUCAAUCACCUAUUUGAACAUGCCACCGGGGAUGCUGCUUUGAUCCUGCCUGACAACCUUGGUUUCUAGUUUAAUAUUUUCUCCUCUCCCCUCCGCCCCACACUAUGCUGGGUUGAAGCAUAAAGGAAAUAAAAGAUUGCCUUCAUGGAAAUGGGUCUUAUUUCUUUAUUUAAAAAUUAUAUUUUAUUGGAGAUAUUUGAUAGUUAAGAAC
rnacentral:lncRNA from 10 species